GACGAACGCUGGCGGCGUGCUUAACACAUGCAAGUCGAACGGAAAGGCCCUGCUUGCAGGGUGCUCGAGUGGCGAACGGGUGAGUAACACAUGGGUGAUCUGCCCCUUACUUUGGGAUAAGCCUGGGAAACUGGGUCUAAUACUGGAUAGGACCAUGCUGUAGGUGGUGUGGUGGAAAGAUUAGUUUCGGUAAGGGAUGAGCUCGCGGCCUAUCAGCUUGUUGGUGGGGUAAUGGCCUACCAAGGCGUCGACGGGUAGCCGGCCUGAGAGGGUGGACGGCCACAUUGGGACUGAGAUACGGCCCAGACUCCUACGGGAGGCAGCAGUGGGGAAUAUUGCACAAUGGGCGCAAGCCUGAUGCAGCGACGCCGCGGGGGGGAUGACGGCCUUCGGGUUGUAAACUCCUUUCAGCCAUGACGAAGCCCUUGUGGUGACGGUAGUGGUAGAAGAAGCACCGGCUAACUACGUG
rnacentral:rRNA from 1 species